CCUACGGGUGACAGCAGUGAGGAAUAUUGGUCAAUGGACGAGAGUCUGAACCAGCCAAGUAGCGUGAAGGAUGACUGCCUUAUGGGUUGUAAACUUCUUUUAUAUGGGAAUAAAAUGUUCCACGUGUGGGAUUUUGUAUGUACCAUAUGAAUAAGGAUCGGCUAACUCCGUGCAAGCAGCCGCGGUAAUACGGAGGAUCCGAGCGUUAUCCGGAUUUAUUGGGGUUAAAGGGAGCGUAGGUGGAUUGUUAAGUCAGUUGUGAAAGUUUGCGGCUCAACCGUAAAAUUGCAGUUGAAACUGGCAGUCUUGAGUACAGUAGAGGUGGGCGGAAUUCGUGGUGUAGCGGUGAAAUGCUUAGAUAUCACGAAGAACUACGAUUGCGAAGGCAGCUCACUGGACUGCAACUGACGCUGAAGCACGAAAGCGUGGGUAUCGAACAGGAUUAGAUACCCCUGUAGUC
rnacentral:rRNA from 1 species